UACGUAGGGACCAAGCGUUGUUCGGAUUUACUGGGCGUAAAGCGCGCGUAGGCGGCUUUGCAAGUCGGGUGUGAAAUCCCCAGGCCUAACCUGGGAACUGCAUUCGAGACUGCAUGGCUAGAGUAUCGGAGAGGGAAGUGGAAUUUCAGGUGUAGCGGUGAAAUGCGUAGAUAUCUGAAGGAACAUCAGUGGCGAAAGCGACUUCCUGGACGAAUACUGACGCUCAUGUGCGAAAGCGUGGGGAGCAAACAGG
rnacentral:rRNA from 1 species